rnacentral:lncRNA from 1 species
UCUUAGAGGUAACAAACCCUCCUGUGGGGUUGCCUUUCAUAAGCAAACUAACCAAUUCAGAGCCCUCUCCCCACCCCCUGCUUAAUGAGCUCUUGCACUGGGGGACACUAUUCCCCUGUCCUAAUCACCUCAGGCACAGGCAGGGCAUCGAGUUAUGCAAGUGAGCCAAUCUUAAACCUGCUUAGCCUGCUCACCCUGUCUCACCCACGCUUUCCUGCAAACACCACAAAAAGGCUCUUUCAGGUGGCAGUUCGCCUCACUCUCUGUGCCUACAACCGACCUCAGAGCCCCUCCUGUGGCCUGCAUGGGUGGCUGACCUGCCCCCCUCCUCCUGGAAACUCUAAUAAACUAUCAUUUCAAUGGCAGUUGUCUCCUGAUCUGUUGGCCUCACCAUACCUAAAUAAAAAAUAAAAUCUACAUUUUAAAAGGGGCUCAUGGGCAGUGUCAGCUUCCUUCCAAGCUGGCAAAUUUGAGCAGUCUUGUCUCAGUGUUUUCAGGGGUCCGUGGUAUCUAACUGGCUCAACGCUUGGACAAAGACAUCUUAUGGAUACAAAAGGAAUCAACCCCCUCGCGAUGCUUUCAGCAUCUCAUAUGCUUAUCCUGGGAGGAUUUGGGUCUCAGGAAGGACACAUGGUUGUCUGUCUGCUGCCAGCCCAGACGACAAGGACUGCCCAGUGGUCCCACGGCAUCAGAAGCUAAAUAAAAUGGUUAUUUUAAACCACUAAACUAGGAGAACAUAGAGUUGUUGCACAACAAACAAGAGCUUCUGAAACCGCUUGAUGUCCUAAGGUUAGCAUUCCCUCAAUCUGGACUUGGAACCCCUUCCUGUGGGAGGACUAGAUGAACAUGGAACUGAGCCUGGCAGACACUGCAAAUGAGGCCCCUGCCAGCCAGGGGAAGCAUUGAUAGGCACACUGAGGGUAUGCUGAAGAAGGCAGUGAGGUCCAGCUCCAGGAAGCUGCAGCAACAUUAGGCCACUGCAGCGGACCUCAUUUUCAGAAGGAUUUUAAGCCAAAGCCCAAGGUUUAUUAUAAAGGACUUACAAAGGACAAAGACGAAGAGACACAUAGGGCAAGGUACCAGGGAAGGGGCACAGAGCUUCCAUGCCCUCCCUGGGCGCAUCACUCUACAGGAACCUCCCUGUGUUCAGCUAUCCAGAAGCUCUCCAAACUCCAUCCUCUUGGGCUUUAAUGGAAGCUUCGCAAGCCCUCAAGAUACAUGAAGCUGUGGGCCCUCAGAAACAUCUGGCUCAGCAGAAAUGACUGCAGGGUCUGCCUCUGAAGCCCAGCGUUUCUACUCCAUUUGGGAUAUUCCACACAGGAAGAGAAUUGGAAAUGCUGGAGGUAAGAGCUUUGGCAAUCGCUCUCCAAAAACCCUUGGAAACUCAAGUCAGCUUUGGCUGGGGAAGGGUACACAUUAGCUAUCUCUUCCAUACCCACCCAGUCCUUCCUGUUUCUGUUCAUUCUUCUUAUUCUUUCUAAUCCACACCUGCUCCCUCAGUCACACUUUCAGCCUCUGCCCUCUCCUGCUGACAGAGGGCUGUGAUCUCCCCUCCUCCCCAGGCUCCCCACGUCAGGCCGUCCUCCAGGAGUGGCUAUCCAUCUCUAAGGGCUUUCCGGACUGCUGCCCAGCAACUUCAACAGGCACCUCUAAUCGACGACCUCUCCUGCCUCCGCUGGUGUAGGGACGCCAGGCUUCUGAACAGCACUGCUCUCCUCAUUUGCCUUCAAGCUGGCCUAUCUUUCCUGCUGGUGGUGGUGGGCAGAGGCAAGGGUGUGGUCAGCUUUGAAAGAGAUUCCAUUCUUGGAAUAAAGUGAUCUAGCAAACAAAGUCUUCAAAAAAAAAAUACAUGAGGGGAAAAACAAUAAGCUGAACAUGAGCAGAAAACACAUUUUCUUGCAUUUGUGGUCAUCUUCUAUGAAGCACAGUAAGAAUCUUUGGAAGCCAGUCUUCAGGGCAAAAGGAUGGAGGAUGCAGCAUCAUGAGUAUCCAGAGAGUCAGGAUGAAGUUGUUCUUGGGAACUGCAGAGACAAGCAGUUCUAUAUGGUUUCAACACAAAUGGGCUAGGAAGAACCCUGGCACCGUGAGCAAUAAUAGUGUCACUACCUUUUUCUAGAGGUGGGAGACAAAAACUUAGCCAGACACAUUCAACAGUAAGACUCAACAAAGAAUCUUCAUAUUCAUGGACAGAAACUAAAUCUGCCACAUUUCUAGUAAGGUUCUUUCUUGGUUAAUUAAAUGUAUUAAUCUCUUCCAA